rnacentral:rRNA from 1 species
AGUGAACGCUGGCGGUAGGCCUAAUACAUGCAAGUCGAACGGCAGCACAGUAAGAGCUUGCUCUUACGGGUGGCGAGUGGCGGACGGGUGAGGAAUACAUCGGAAUCUACUUUUUCGUGGGGGAUAACGUAGGGAAACUUACGCUAAUACCGCAUACAACCUACGGGUGAAAGCAGGGGUUCUUCGGACCUUGCGCGAUUGAAUGAGCCGAUGUCGGAUUAGCUAGUUGGCGGGGUAAAGGCCCACCAAGGCGACGAUCCGUAGCUGGUCUGAGAGGAUGAUCAGACAGACUGGAAGUGAGAAACGGUAGACACUCCGACGGUAGGACGCAGUGGGGAAUAUUGGACAAUGGGGGAAAGCCUGAUCCAGCAAUACCGGGUGGGUGAAGAAGGCCUUAGGCUUGUAGAGCCAUUUUGUUGGGAAAGAAAUGAAGCAGGUUAACACCCCGCUGUACUGACGGUACCGAAAGAAUAAGCACCGGCUAACUUCGUG